GGCUUGGUGGUCUAGAGGUAUGAUUCCUUCUUAGGGCUUAAUAAAGUUGUUAAAUAAUUAACAAAGAGUCACGUGAUGGAGGAGGCCCUGGGUUCGAUUCCCAGCCAAGCCC